rnacentral:sRNA from 1 species
GCUGAGCGUGGUGGCGCUCGCCUGUAAUCCCAGUGGCUCAGGAGGCUGAGGCAGGAAGAUUGUGAGUUCAAAACCAGCCUCAG